rnacentral:rRNA from 1 species
CCCUGAUCCAGCCAUGCCGCGUGUGUGAAGAAGGCCUUUUGGUUGUAAAGCACUUUAAGCGAGGAGGAGGCUACUCUAGUUAAUACCUAGGGAUAGUGGACGUUACUCGCAGAAUAAGCACCGGCUAACUCUGUGCCAGCAGCCGCGGUAAUACAGAGGGUGCAAGCGUUAAUCGGAUUUACUGGGCGUAAAGCGCGCGUAGGUGGCCAAUUAAGUCAAAUGUGAAAUCCCCGAGCUUAACUUGGGAAUUGCAUUCGAUACUGGUUGGCUAGAGUAUGGGAGAGGAUGGUAGAAUUCCAGGUGUAGCGGUGAAAUGCGUAGAGAUCUGGAGGAAUACCGAUGGCGAAGGCAGCCAUCUGGCCUAAUACUGACACUGAGGUGCGAAAGCAUGGGGAGCAAACAGGAUUAGAUACCCUGGUAGUCCAUGCCGUAAACGAUGUC